CAGGUGACUGUUAUCAGGUACCGGUGUGCUGUCCAGGUGACUGUUAUCAGGUACCGGUGUGCUGUCCAGGUGACUGUUGUCAGGUACAGGUGUGCUGUCCAGGUGACUGUUGUCAGGUACAGGUGUGCUGUCCAGGUGACUGUUGUCAGGUACAGGUGUGCUGUCCAGGUGACUGUUGUCAGGUACAGGUGUGCUGUCCAGGUGACUGUUGUCAGGUACAGGUGUGCUGUCCAGGUGACUGUUGUCAGGUACAGGUGUGCUGUCCAGGUGACUGUUGUCAGGUACAGGUGUGCUGUCCAGGUGACUGUUGUCAGGUACAGGUGUGCUGUCCAGGUGACUGUUGUCA